CAGUAGUCACGUAGUUUGAUCAGUGGCUCAGAACGAACGCUGGCGGCAUGCCUAACACAUGCAAGUCGAACGAGACCUUCGGGUCUAGUGGCGCACGGGUGCGUAACGCGUGGGAAUCUGCCCCUUGGUUCGGAAUAACAGCGAGAAAUUGCUGCUAAUACCGGAUAAUGACGUAAGUCCAAAGAUUUAUCGCCAAGGGAUGAGCCCGCGUAGGAUUAGCUAGUUGGUGUGGUAAAGGCGCACCAAGGCGACGAUCCUUAGCUGGUCUGAGAGGAUGAUCAGCCACACUGGGACUGAGACACGGCCCAGACUCCUACGGGAGGCAGCAGUGGGGAAUAUUGGACAAUGGGCGAAAGCCUGAUCCAGCAAUGCCGCGUGAGUGAUGAAGGCCUUAGGGUUGUAAAGCUCUUUUACCCGGGAUGAUAAUGACAGUACCGGGAGAAUAAGCUCCGGCUAACUCCGUG
rnacentral:rRNA from 1 species